rnacentral:tRNA from 1 species
CGCGGGGUGGAGCAGUUGGAAGCUCGUUGGGCUCAUAACCCAAAGGUCGGAGGUUCGAAUCCUCCCCCCGCUACUA